AAGUCGAACGGGCGUAGCAAUACGUCAGUGGCAGACGGGUGAGUAACGCGUGGGAACGUACCUUUUGGUUCGGAACAACUGAGGGAAACUUCAGCUAAUACCGGAUAAGCCCUUACGGGGAAAGAUUUAUCGCCGAAAGAUCGGCCCGCGUCUGAUUAGCUAGUUGGUGAGGUAAUGGCUCACCAAGGCGACGAUCAGUAGCUGGUCUGAGAGGAUGAUCAGCCACAUUGGGACUGAGACACGGCCCAAACUCCUACGGGAGGCAGCAGUGGGGAAUAUUGGACAAUGGGGGCAACCCUGAUCCAGCCAUGCCGCGUGAGUGAUGAAGGCCCUAGGGUUGUAAAGCUCUUUUGUGCGGGAAGAUAAUGACGGUACCGCAAGAAUAAGCCCCGGCUAACUUCGUGCCAGCAGCCGCGGUAAUACGAAGGGGGCUAGCGUUGCUCGGAAUCACUGGGCG
rnacentral:rRNA from 1 species